rnacentral:tRNA from 1 species
CCCCGGCCUGGCUGCUGCUGGUGCACGCGCUGGUGCUCGGCGCCUGCGGGCCCGCCUCGAUGGUCGGCUUCGACUUCUCCCGGCCGG